AGUGAACGCUGGCGGUAGGCCUAACACAUGCAAGUCGAACGGCAGCACAGUAAGAGCUUGCUCUUACGGGUGGCGAGUGGCGGACGGGUGAGGAAUACAUCGGAAUCUACUUUUUCGUGGGGGAUAACGUAGGGAAACUUACGCUAAUACCGCAUACGACCUACGGGUGAAAGCAGGGGAUCUUCGGACCUUGCGCGAUUGAAUGAGCCGAUGUCGGAUUAGCUAGUUGGCGGGGUAAAGGCCCACCAAGGCGACGAUCCGUAGCUGGUCUGAGAGGAUGAUCAGCCACACUGGAACUGAGACACGGUCCAGACUCCUACGGGAGGCAGCAGUGGGGAAUAUUGGACAAUGGGCGCAAGCCUGAUCCAGCCAUACCGCGUGGGUGAAGAAGGCCUUCGGGUUGUAAAGCCCUUUUGUUGGGAAAGAAAAGCAGCAGGUUAAUACCCCGCUGUUCUGACGGUACCCAAAGAAGAAGCACCGGCUAACUUCGU
rnacentral:rRNA from 1 species